rnacentral:lncRNA from 1 species
CGCGACCAAAGCGGGGUUAGUCCCAGGUAAGUGGGAUCCACGACCAAAGCGGGGCAGCUCCUCUGUAAAGAAAGACAGAGCAUUACAUUUUAUUGCAGCUGCACUGUGUACUUUCGCUUUUGUUUUCUGUGUUUCUUUUGUUGUGUCAUUUCGCUUUUGUUUUUUGUGCUUCUUUUGUUGCUGUGUCAUGGGUGCUGCAUCUUCAAGUCCGCUUCUCCUGGCCCUAGAUGGCCUGUUACGUUCCAAGGGCCUGGAAGUGAAACAUAGUACUUUACAGAGAUUUUUACAGAAGAUAGAUAUCGCUGCACCGUGGUUUGCAUUUUCGGGCAGCCUUACUGUACCUAGUUGGGAUAAAUUAGGCAAAGAUCUAGAUUUCGCUCGUGAGCAAGGCACCUUAGAGGGUGGUGUUAUUCCACUUUGGAAGUUAGUUAGAGGAUGUAUAACAGAUGGUAAAUGCCAGGAAGCUGUGAGUGAGGGUCAAGCUAUUCUUGAGCAACUGCAUGAGGAAAAAUCUGAAGGAUCAUGUAGUGAAGUGGCAG